UGUUAACCGAACGGCAUGGGAAGGCCGGUCAGAGAGUGUGAGAACCACGUAGGUGAAAACGACAAGAGCUGAGCAAGUUCCAGAGUACGGCCAGACACGUGAAACCUGGUCGGAAGAUGGGGGGACCACCCUCCAACCCUAAAUACUACCCAGUGACCGAUAGCGUAUAGUACUGUGAAGGAAAGGUGAAAAGCACCCCGGGAGGGGAGUGAAAAAGAACCUGAAACCCUGUGCCUACAAGCACCUAGAGCACGUCAAUGUGUGAUAGGGUACUUUUUGUAGAACGGUCCGGCGAGCGAUUGUAUGCAGCAAGGUUAAGGACUUAAGGUCUGGAGCCGAAGCGAAAGCGAGUUUGAAAAGGGCGUUAAGUUGCAUACAAUGGGCCCGAAACCGGGUGACCUACCCAUGGUCAGGUUGAAGUGGAAGUAAAAUUCCAUGGAGGACCGAACCGACCUCCGUUGAAAAGGCGGCGGAUGAACUGUGGGUAGCGGAGAAAUUCCAAUCGAACCCGGAGAUAGCUGGUUCUCCCCGAAAUAGUUUUAGGACUAGCCUCAAGUUAGAUACCUGGAGGUAAAGCACUGAAUAGCCUAGCGGCCGAGAGGUUAGCGAAGCUUAUCAAACUCAGAAUGCCAGAGUAUUGAUGCUUGGGAGUCAGACAGUGUCAGAUAAAUGUCAUUGUCAAAAGGGAAACAGCCCAGAUCUACAGCUAAGGUCCCAAAGUCAGGUUAAGUGGAAAACGAUGUGAAGAUACGCAGACAACCAGGAUGUUGGCUCAGAAGCAGCCACUCAUUCAAAGAGUGCGUAAUAGCUCACUGGUCGAGCGUCUUUGCGCGGAGAAUUUAACGGGGCUAAACCUGACACCGAAGCUUAGGCAAUGUAGUAAUGCAUUGGGUAGGGGAGCGUUGUAUACGCGGUGAAACAGUAGCGCAAGCGGCUGUGGAGUGUAUAGAAGUGAGAAUGCCGGAAUGAGUAGCGCGAAUGCAGUGAGAAUCUGCAUGGCCGAAAGCCUCAGGUUUCUGGAGGAAGGUUCGUCCGCUCCAGGUUAGUCGGGAGCUAAGGUGAGGCCUAACGGCGUAGCCGAUGCACAGACGGUAGAGAUUCCGUCACCACCAAAAGAGUUAAGCACAGGGACACAUUUGAAGUCUCAGAGCCGGGUGUUGGUUCCGGUAGAGAUCGAGGGAAAUUAGUACCGAAGUCUGGGAUGGAAGAUGGCGAGAAAAGCUGUGUGUAUUUCUGAGGUGCCCGUACCGCAAACCGACACAGGUAGGUAGGAAGAAGAUUCUAAGGCCAACGGGAGAAGGGUUGUUAAGGAACUCGGCAAAUUGACCCCGUAACUUCGGGAGAAGGGGUGCUCCAGAGAUGGAGCCGCAGAGAAUCGGCCCAAGCAACUGUUUACCAAAAACACAGGUUUGUGCUAAAUCGAAAGAUGACGUAUACGAGCUGACGCCUGCCCGGUGCUGGAAGGUUAAGAGGAGAUGUGCAAGCAUUGAAUCGAAGCCCCAGUGAACGGCGGCCGUAACUAUAACGGUCCUAAGGUAGCGAAAUUCCUUGUCAGGUAAGUUCUGACCCGCAUGAAAGGCGUAAUGAUUUGGGCACUGUCUCAACAGCCCGCCCGGCGAAAUUGUAGUACCGGUGAAGAUGCCGGUUACCCGCGACAAGACGGAAAGACCCCAUGGAGCUUUACUGUAGCCUAAUAUUGGGUUUCGAUGUUGCAUGCACAGGAUAGAUGGGACACUGGGAAACAAUCGCUUUGGCGGUUGCGGAGUGGCCGUUGGGAUACCAUCCUUGCGAUAUUGGAAUUCUAACCUGCGGCUCUGAAUCGAGUCGGGGGACAUUGUUAGGUGGGCAGUUUGACUGGGGCGGUCGCCUCCUAAAGAGUAACGGAGGCGUUCAAAGGUUCGCUCAGCUUGAACGGAAAUCAAGCAAAAGAGUGCAAACGCAGAAGCGAGCCUAACUGCGAGACUGACGGGUCGAGCAGUAACGAAAGUUGGAGUUAGUGAUCCGGUGGUAUGUGAGUGGAAAUGCCAUCGCUCAACGGAUAAAAGUUACCCUGGGGAUAACAGGCUGAUCUCCCCCAAGAGUCCACAUCGACGGGGAGGUUUGGCACCUCGAUGUCGGCUCAUC
rnacentral:rRNA from 1 species